UCUUAGACUUUGGUAGAGAGAGAACAGAAGGUUGAGAGAGAGCGUGAACCCUAGAGAGAAAGUGUUCCCAACACGACCUUCACCUAGGCAGUUGCCUGAGCAGAAGUGGCCGUUCACGGAAUUUGUACCGUUCACCGGACCGUCAUCGUUCAUCGAAGUCUUGUCUGCUGUCGUUCCACCGUCGUUCUGCGGUUUUGAAGCGCUUUGUAUUAGGACACAGUAGAUAACGCUUCUUAAGAUAAGCACUAUGACUAUCCUGUUUCUUUUUCGUUUCGCUUUUUAGGGCUUCUUUUUCAUUUCGCUCCUUCGUGUUUCUUUUUCAUUUCGCUCAUUCAUGCUUCUCUUUGCUCCUUCGUGCUACUUUCGGCGGCAUUGCCUCAAGCACUAGAUGUAUAGUGUUUCGUUCUUCUACUGUGAUUCAGGGUAGAGGAUUCAAUGUACAAAUUAAUUAUGCUGAAGAACCUGUCCAAGACUACGUUCAGGCUGUUGUUUCAACGACACUCUUGAUCCACGAGCGGGUAUUUUAAUCCCUUACAAUGAGAUGGAAUAAAUUCAAGUGUGAUCUUAUUCUUUCAUACUACUUGGGAAUGAAAUUUCUUACAUAUGAAAGGAGUGAACUCAAAUUUUCAUACCACAGACCAGUGACGGUCACAUACAUGGUAGAGGUUGAGAUUGAAAGCCCUGAAUUUGAUUGAUGUAGAGAUUGAAAACGAAUA